rnacentral:lncRNA from 1 species
AUUUUUAAAUUUCUAAAUUUAUAUUUUUGAACGUCUUGACAUGUAGACUGCGGUCUUUAGAGAAAAAAAAAAGUUCAUAAACAACAUAAUAACUUAAUAAAAUAGCAUACGAAAAAUGCUAGCUAUACAUCCAAAAAUGAAGGGGUGUCGAGAUCUCAUAUAUACCAUCCCAAUCCUAAAAUUUUACAAGCUAUUCAGAUUUUUAAUAAUGAAAAAAGUUAAUAUUAGGAUAAUAGUGAAAUAUUGGCUUUUGGGUGAAACGGUAUAAGACUUGAUGAAUGUAGGUAGCAUUUCUCAAAGCAUAUAUUGUAAAUACUUUUUUUAGGCCAUGUAACUCAGAUUUGGUUUCGCUCUUAGCGAAACAAGUGUGAAUACUUGUUCUAAGGUCAUAUUGAAGAGAAGGAAAAAAAAAAGAAUUUUCUUUUGAAAAAAAUAAAAAAUGAAAAAUCGCAAGAAGACCACAUGUGCAUACAAUUUAAGAAAAGCAAGAAUUGUAAUUUUGUUUUAUUUUUUGUUUGGGAGGCUUUAGAAGUUUUUUUUUUUUUUUUUUUUUUUUUUUUUUUUUUUUCUGUUGAAAGAAAAAUAGCAUGCUAUCCACUUCGUUUAUUUUAUUUAGAAAUAAACUUAACUGAAAAUGUGAAUCAACUAAGAUUCGAACUUGGGUCUCGGAUACCAACCACCAAGUCCUUUACCACUUGCUCUAGGGACAGUCGGUGAGGCUUCAGAAGUUACGACUCAACAAUAAUCUAUACAACCUAAACAAUUAUCCAACAAUGAUUUUAAUUCAUCGACCGUUCCGAACGCAAGUGAUAAAAAACUUGAUAGAAUACUCAAGAUUUCAAAUUCGAAACAUCGUGACUUACAUUUUCGGUCUAAUUCAUUUCUUAAUAAAAAUAGAACGAAGAAAAUAACAUGCCACCUUUCUCUCUCUAAAAGAGAAAUUUCAAUUAAAUAAAUUAAAUUCACUGCUAGGAUAUUACCAUAUAUAUUUUUUUAUUCUU